rnacentral:rRNA from 1 species
AACGAACGCUGGCGGCGUGGAUAAGACAUGCAAGUCGAGCGGGAUAUUAUUUGUAGCAAUACAAAUGAUGUCCAGCGGCGCAAGGGUGCGUAACACGUGGGCAAUCUGCCGAGAAGUGGGGGAUAGCUCGCCGAAAGGCGAAUUAAUACCGCAUGUGGUUAAGGACGACAUCUUCCUGACACCAAAGCCGGGGCAACCUGGCGCUUCUUGAUGAGCCCGCGGCCUAUCAGCUAGUUGGUGAGGUAACGGCUCACCAAGGCUAUGACGGGUAGCUGGUCUGAGAGGACGACCAGCCACACUGGAACUGAGACACGGUCCAGACACCUACGGGUGGCAGCAGUCGAGAAUUUUUCUCAAUGGGGGAAACCCUGAAGGAGCGACGCCGCGUGGAGGAUGAAGGUCUUCGGAUUGUAAACUCCUGUCAUUUGGGAACAAUGUGCAUUUAUUAACUGUAGAUGUAUUGAUAGUACCAGAAGAGGAAGAGACGGCUAACUCUGUGCCAGCAGCCGCGGUAAAAC